rnacentral:rRNA from 1 species
AGCAGCCGCGGUAAUUCCAGCUCCAAUAGCGUAUAUUAAAGUUGUUGCAGUUAAAAAGCUCGUAGUUGAAUUUCAGGCCUGGCUGGACGGUCCGCCCUUCGGGUGAGUACUGUCUGUGGUCGGGUCCUACCUUCUGGCGAAGCGUCAUGGCCUUAACCGGCCGUGGCGGGGAACCAGGACUUUUACUGUGAAAAAUUAGAGUGUUCAAAGCAGGCAAUCGCUUGGAUACAUUAGCAUGGAAUAAUGGAAUAGGACAAUGGUUCUAUUUGUUGGUUUCUAGGACCGUUGUAAUGAUUAAUAGGGAUAGUUGGGGGCAUUAGUAUUCAAUUGUCAGAGGUGAAAUUCUUGGAUUUAUUGAAGACUAACUACUGCGAAAGCAUUUGCCAAGGAUGUUUUCAUUAAUCAAGAACGAAAGUUAGGGGAUCGAAGACGAUCAGAUACCGUCGUAGUCUUAACCAUAAACUAUGCCGACUAGGAAUCGGGCGAUGUUGACAAAAUGACGCGCUCGGCACCUCAUAC